rnacentral:rRNA from 1 species
GACGAACGCUGGCGGCGUGCUUAACACAUGCAAGUCGAACGGAAAGGCCCUGCUUUUGUGGGGUGCUCGAGUGGCGAACGGGGGAGUAACACGUGAGUAACCUGCCCUUGACUUUGGGAUAACUUCAGGAAACUGGGGCUAAUACCGGAUAGGAGCUCCUGCUGCAUGGUGGGGGUUGGAAAGUUUCGGCGGUGGGGGAUGGACUCGCGGGUUAUCAGCUGGUUGGUGGGGUAGUGGCUUACCAAGGCUUUGACGGGUAGGCGGCCUGAGAGGGUGACCGGCCACCAUGGGCCUGAGAGACGGACCAGACGCGUACGUGAGGCAGCAGUCGGGAGUAUUGCGCAGUGGGCGGAAGCCUGAUGCAGAGACCCCGCGUUCGGGAUGCCCGCCUACGGGUUGUAAACCGCUUUCGCCUGUGACGAAGCGUGAUUGACGGUAAUGGGUCAAGAAGCACCGGCUAACUACGUG